rnacentral:rRNA from 1 species
AUGAACGCUGGCGGCGUGCUUAACACAUGCAAGUCGAACGGUGAAGCAGAGCUUGCUCUGUGGAUCAGUGGCGAACGGGUGAGUAAUACGUGAGCAAUCUGCCCCUGACUCUGGGAUAAGCGCUGGAAACGGUGUCUAAUACUGGAUAAGAGCCAUGGCCGCAUGGUCUGUGGUUGGAAAGAUUUUUCGGUUGGGGAUGAGCUCACGGCCUAUCAGCUUGUUGGUGAGGUAAUGGCUCACCAAGGCGUCGACGGGUAGCCGGCCUGAGAGGGUGACCGGCCACACUGGGACUGAGACACGGCCCAGACUCCUACGGGAGGCAGCAGUGGGGAAUAUUGCACAAUGGGCGGAAGCCUGAUGCAGCAACGCCGCGUGAGGGAUGACGGCCUUCGGGUUGUAAACCUCUUUUAGCAGGGAAGAAGCUUUUGUGACGGUACCUGCAGAAAAAGCGCCGGCUAACUACGUGCCAGCAGCCGCGGUAAUACGUAGGGCGCAAGCGUUAUCCGGAAUUAUUGGGCGUAAAGAGCUCGUAGGCGGUUUGUCGCGUCUGCUGUGAAAUCCCGAGGCUCAACCUCGGGCCUGCAGUGGGUACGGGCAGACUAGAGUGCGGUAGGGGAGAUUGGAAUUCCUGGUGUAGCGGUGGAAUGCGCAGAUAUCGGGAGGAACACCGAUGGCGAAGGCAGAUCUCUGGGCCGUAACUGACGCUGAGGAGCGAAAGGGUGGGGAGCAAACAGGCUUAGAUACCCUGGUAGUCCACCCCGUAAACGUUGGGAACUAGUUGUGGGGUCCAUUCCACGGAUUCCGUGACGCAGCUAACGCAUUAAGUUCCCCGCCUGGGGAGUACGGCCGCAAGGCUAAAACUCAAAGGAAUUGACGGGGACCCGCACAAGCGGCGGAGCAUGCGGAUUAAUUCGAUGCAACGCGAAGAACCUUACCAAGGCUUGACAUACACCAGAACACCCUGGAAACAGGGGACUCUUUGGACACUGGUGAACAGGUGGUGCAUGGUUGUCGUCAGCUCGUGUCGUGAGAUGUUGGGUUAAGUCCCGCAACGAGCGCAACCCUCGUUCUAUGUUGCCAGCACGUAAUGGUGGGAACUCAUGGGAUACUGCCGGGGUCAACUCGGAGGAAGGUGGGGAUGACGUCAAAUCAUCAUGCCCCUUAUGUCUUGGGCUUCACGCAUGCUACAAUGGCCGGUACAAAGGGCUGCGAUACCGUAAGGUGGAGCGAAUCCCAAAAAGCCGGUCCCAGUUCGGAUUGAGGUCUGCAACUCGACCUCAUGAAGUCGGAGUCGCUAGUAAUCGCAGAUCAGCAACGCUGCGGUGAAUACGUUCCCGGGUCUUGCACACACCGC